UCAAAGAUUUGAAGUUUGUAAAUUGGCAACAGUGUAUGAAUCGAAAGUAACUUCAUUUUGACAGCGUUAUUGCACCUGCAAAACGUUUUGCAAUAGCUUUUUCUAGUUUCAAAACUUUCAAUUGCAUUUUUCGUCGUCUGUUUGUCUCGUGUGUGUUUUCAUUAAACCACAAGUUUCUUUAACGUAUAUCUCUAGUUCUCUACAAAUCGGAUGGUUUCUUAUUACUGUGCGCUCUGAAGAACUUGUAUAAUACCCACGUGACAAGAAUGUCGGCAAGACAGAACCUUGGACAGACAGUUAAAAAUAAAGGAGUAAGAGGCAAAUAAGAAUGGAGCAUUUGGACAUCCUACGUUGCGCAUUCUCCGCAAAUGCGAAAAUCAAAUUUGUGUCCAAUCUGUGGUACGCUGUCUACAGCGUCUUAUGGGAAAACCAAC